AACAAAUAUUUAACUCACAAAUUUUUGUCGAAACGUCGAGACAAUAAAAAGAUUUACUGGCCAAAGAUUCACGCAAAGGCUCCGGCAGCUACGCGUCAUAUAGGCGGAACAUAAGGAAAAGGGAGUUAUACCUCUAGGUACCGAACAUGUAAUAUUAGUUUAUAUUCUCUAGCUAACAUUUCUACAUAAACUGUUGAAAUUGAUAAUUUGUUGGUAAGCUGCCAAAGUAUAUAUUGACCAUCGUGGCAGUAAAAGCAAUAUGUAAAUAGUGGAGCGCUUUUUGUGAUUUGAACGAUACCAUUUGGGUUAAUAUAUAUUUUUUAAUGAAAUAUAUAUAUGUAUAUUAAUGAUUAUUAAAUGUGAAUUUCUUAUUUUAGAUAAGUCUUUUUAAAAACCAGCUUUGCUCCUUUUAUUUUGACAUAAAUAGGCAUUGAAUAGACGAAGAUAGAAAAUAUAGCUGAUACACACAAUCUCUUAAAUUGAAAAAAGGAUGUACUCUCUUUUAAUUUAAAACAUUCAAAAUAUCAAGUUGAAAUUAUGGAUUUGAAAGUGUUUGUCUUACCAGUGAUGAGCUCUACUAGCGGUGUCGCCUGUUAAAUGACCAAACUGCUGCUAUUGUGCUACAUUUUCGGCUUAUAUGGACAUCUAAAGCUCCAUUAUUGUUGAAGGUAUAUUUUCUAGGUAUACUCUAUAUAAAUAUUAUCAUUUAAAAUUUCCGAAGUUUUUACCUCAGAUUAUACGCAGUCUUGACAUCGUACCAUCGAAAGCGCUUAGAUUUCAUUACUGAUUAAAGAAAUAGCAUUCCCAUUAUUUUACAUGUAAUAAAGCAUCCACUUGCUUUAUUAGAAAACUAUAUCGGGUAAAAGGUUAAUUUGAAUUCAAAUUUUUCAUUCAAAAUGUGAAAUUAUAAAAUGGUAAUUGAGAGUUAAUUUAUGAAAACAUUUCAACUACGUGCCUUAGAGGCAUCUUAGAGAUAAAUUGAGGCGCUGGAACUGGAGAGUUGUUGAUCAAGCUCGUUUGGGAUUAUCUAAGAGAUUCCUUUGUGUCUUUUCGAUUUUAAAAAUAAUUAUAUUUAUAAUAUUUAUUCAAUAAAGAAACUCUAUUUUAAAUUGGGGGUUUGUCCACAAUUAGUCUCGAACUAACUUAAAAACCAAUCAAAUUUAAACACAUUAUAUAUCUUUAAAAAUUUUAAAUUGGAUAAACAUCUCUAAAAUAUAUAACAAGGCAAGAAAAAGUCAAUUAUAUAAUACCCCUAUAACCUAAAAUCAAAAUGCCAUUUCAGAUUUCAAAAGAAAGAUGAGUCUUAAGUAAGAGAAAAAAAUAAAUUGGAAAUUGCUCGCUGACUAUGUAACAUUAAAUUAAACACGCGACCAGGAAAAAAAAAGAGUCAUAUUCUUAAAUGGUAUAAUAACAUCGAUCAUAAUUUGUUUGGGGUGCUAGCAUGGAAUGCUCUAUCGCCAGGUGAGAAAGAAAAGCUUUCGUUCAAGUUGGCACAAAGGCGCUUCAUCACGUAGCAAUUCAUUCAAGGCCAAACGUUAUCUUUCCACAUUUAACUCUUAACAGUACGAUGAUUGAAGAAGAAGACCCUUGGUACCGCCAUCCGUCUUGUCCUAUUUGCCGCAUUCCACGACCACCACCCGGGGUGCUGCCUUGGCUGGAAAACAAACACCCUGCUGCUGCUGGCCUCGGAAUGUCUGUCUCCUUUGUCGUCAAUACCUGACCUUUAUGCAAAUCUAGCAUAUGUUGGAAUUUGUGGUUAGGGCAAGAAGGAACCAUACUCUUAACGAAGUCCUUUUUGUAUCAUCUAAAGGCAAUCGUAUUAAACUUUGAACUAAAGUAUUGGCUUAGAAUUGAAGGUGAAACUCUCUCCCUCUUUUUUCAGUAGCGAGCUAUAAGCAAUAAUAUUACAUACAUCUCCCAACUUACUAGGACCUAAAUGUUAUUAUAUGUGCUAACCUUAGAGAUCAUACUAUACAAACCAAAUAUUACUAUAGAUAGACAGAGGUGUAAAUUAUUCAAUAUAACCACAAUGGUACAAAAAAAGAUUAAUCUUAAAAGAAAUCUUUUGAAAUUGUUCAAUUUUUAACACCAAUAAUAAUGUUAUCACACCUAUAAAUUAUAAUUAUAAAUAUUUAACAAUACCUUUUUUUAUAGAAAAUAUUUUUAUAUUUUACUGCAAUGGAAAUUUGUGUUGUUGGGUAUGUCUAAUUCAUCAAUGAUAAACCCGUCCAUUCGUAUAUUUCGCUUGUGUCAAAAAUUCGCCAUAAAAUUAAUACUUGCACGCUAUUCAAAAAUGAUUAUCCCUUAUAUCAUAUGAUCCGUUGGAGCUAAGAAUAAUCGAGAAAUAGAUUCUUAUAGACGUUUAAGUAUAUUUAUGUUCCUACUCUUUCGGGAAUUUUGGUUCUUCUACAGGUGAAUUAACUCAUCAUACAUUUUAUCCCUCUAAAUAUACUAUUACAUAGAGGGACAUUUGACAAUUAUCCCGCAAAUGUUUCUUUUUCGUUCAAAAGAAACAUUUGCGGGAUAAUUGCCAAUAAUAAGCCGCAUUAUAUUGUAUUAUACUAUUACAUAUACAAUAUAAUUAUUUAUUUAAUGGUUAUUUGACAAUACAGUGUAUAAUGAGUCUACCCUUCUGUAGAAAGACAAAAAGGCCCGAAAUCUUGAGAGUAUAUAUAUAUAUUAAAAUAUAUCUAAGAUGCCUAUCCCUCAAGUUGCAACUAAUCACACUAUAAAUCAACCAUCCUAACACAAUGAUGUCUGAUAGAUCGAACUGGCGAAACAAUUGGGAAGGUUCAGCACUGAAGAGCCAGGCCCUCCCAACAAUUUUGUUCUCAUUCAAGUCAUAUCUGUGAAAAUUGCUUCAUUUAACAAAAGUCACAUUUUAGUAAAGUUUUUAUUAAGAUCUAACUAGAUAAUAAUAUAACUCUCAUACAGAUAGGAGAUCUUUUUAAUUUGGAAAACCUUUCAACAUGUAGAAUCUGUAAUACACAAUAGUGGCAAUCAAUAAGUUCAAAAUUUGAAGAUCUUUUUCAGAGAUUCCUCUGUAUCUCGUAUGUGUAAUCAAUUAUAAUUGCCCCUCUGCGACCAAUUCGUCUCUUCCAAGUGAUUGAUGCAGUCUGUCUUCUCCUCCUCUCUACAGCCAUUCUCCUAGCAUUCUUCUACUCUUGGACAAUUUCUAUCUUGAAAUACCGUUUCUCUAUUUCAUCUUUAUUUCUGUUAAUAAAACUAUUUAUUUUUAUUUUAUAAUCAUAAAAUUAUUUCCCCUCAGAGAAAAUACUAAAUAGUUAUUUUUUCAUUGUAAGACUUGGGGUAUAUUUUCAAAAUAGUUUGUGGAUAUCAAGUAUAGUAUAACGGCAUUGGCAAUAUAACACACUACCCUGAGAUACCAGUCUACUGAUAAGAAUACUUUUGGGUCUUUUUGGUGAUGUUCGAUUGUUAGAGGUUGGAUCAGAGCAAAACAUUUCAUUUUUAUUGCAUCAAAAUGAUCGCUCAUGGACGAUAGGGCACACGAGGAUUUCACUUUAGAUAAUAUUUCGAAAAACAUUAAUUUUUCUACUGUCCAUCUAAAUGAAUUGACACAUCGGAUAAUAGAAAAUCUUCAUUUUUAUUGACAUUUUGGUUUUAGUGUUGGUUGUAUGCUGGCUUAUGCGUCAUUAUAUUGAUGAUAACAUUUAAUUUAUUUUCGAUCCUGAUUAGGUUAUGAUAUUGGCCGAGAUUCUUAUUUCGGAAGUGUUUUUUUUUUUUUGUUUAUAUUUUAAUAUUCUUCGAAAACAAAAGGAAUUGAAAAUUUCUUAAAGGUAUAUCGAAAAAGAAGAGACAAUAUAUAAUGGUAAUAAUAAGAAAAAAAUGCCAUAUGUGAUAUUUUAUAUUUUCUUCAAUACUAAAAUAUAUUUUGAUCAUAUAUUCUUUCAUUUUAAAUUCUAAUUUGGUGUGAAUAUUUUCAAUAAAAUGUAUAGUGUCCUUAACGACAUUCAACAAAAAAAUUGAAAAAAAUAAUUGUAAAAAGAAUACAUUCAACAAUAAUCUUUGGAAGUUGAUUAGGAAUAAAUAAUUUUGUUUCCAUAUCAUUAAUUUCUGAGAGAAAGUGCUCCGAAUUUCGGUGUUAUUUUGCUGUUGUUGUUGUGAUAACAGCUCUAAAUAUAUAAUUCUACCGUUGAUUUAGGGCUUAAAUAAUGAAUGUAUUUCAACAAGAACUACGAGGAACCAGGGUAAGUGAGCUGAAGUACUGGAGCUCCGUCCUCGAGAGAUCUUAUCAGCAUCUACCCUGUAUAACCGAGUUUGUGUAACCGCAAGGUACAAAUUCGGUGUUACAGAGGUCGGUGGGAACAGAUCAUGUCAGCGCUGGACAAAGGUAGGUUGUACCUGGUGUUACUUGGUGAGUAGUCUGUGGAAACAUAUCCAAACAUGAAAUAACAAAGGUAGGUUAUACCUGGUGUAACUUGGUGAAUGGUCUGUGGAAACAUAUCCAAACAUAAAAUAGCAAAGGUAGGUUGUACCUGGUGUAACUUAGUGAAUGGUCUGGGGAAACAUAUCCGAACAUGAAAUAACAAAGAUAGGUUGUACCUGGUGUAACUUGGUGUAUGGUCUGUGGAAACAUAUCCGAACAUGAAAUAACAAAGGUAGGUUGUACCUGGUGUUACUUGGUGAAUGCUCUGUGGAAACAUAUCCAAACAUGAAAUAACAAAGAUAGGUUGUACCUGGUGUAACUUGGUGAAUGGUCUGUGGAAACAUAUCCGAACAUGAAAUA
rnacentral:piRNA from 1 species